rfam:Eubacteriaceae bacterium CHKCI004 isolate CHKC4 genome assembly, contig: {contig63}
UAACCAUUGCCGGGAGGUAAUGCUGAGCGCACAGAAGUCAGCAGAGGCCAUAGUAGCUGAAAGUUUUUUUCAGCGAAGGGC